rnacentral:misc_RNA from 1 species
CAACCCUCAAGCUCUGCUUGGUAUUAGGUCUUGCCUGCUAGCAGGCAGGCCUUAAAAUCAGUGGCGGUGCCAUUCGGCUUCAAGCGUAGUAAUCAUUCUGGCUUAGGAGUACCGGUUGCGUGCCUGCUAAAAAACCCCAAUUUAUCAAAGG